UAAUUCUUUCGGGGCAGGGUGAAAUUCCCAACCGGCGGUUAAAGCCCGCGACCUGUACGCGAUUUUAUCGCGUACGGCUGAUUCAGUGCAAAUCUGAAGCCGACAGUCAGAGUCUGGAUGGGAGAGAGAAUGA
rnacentral:ncRNA from 2 species